rnacentral:lncRNA from 1 species
UUCCCGAUUAAAAUUUAUUAAAGGUCUGAUCAAGAUCCUGUGAAUCGUGGAUGGAAAUUCAAACUUUAAUUAAAAUUUGUAAAAAAAAAUAAUUUGAUCACGACAACAAUCAGAUAGUGUUCAGGAAGCAUGUCGAUAUUCAACCGUUUCCAAGCGAAUAUGUCCCGAUAAUCCCGUUCUGAAUCCGCUUCUAAUCCGAUUCGUAUUUUCGCCAGGUAAAAUUCGACCGAGUCUGUCACGACUGCGUCCCGACUCAACCGAAUGUAAUCCGACAGAGAUCAGACAGUGACCAGACAGUGAACCGACGCUGACGGAAGUUAUCCGUUCGAAAACACUGUCGGCAUAUUCGGGAUGAUCAGGUACUGUCGGAACGUAAUCCUAUCACGGUCCGCUCUAUCGCAUUGCAAACGGCUUUGUCUGGUCUCAGUCGUAUUGUAUUCUGUAAUUGUCGGGACUCUGACGUGGGUAUCAUUGACGAAUUUCGUAUUAAUAACGGGACUGUUUCGGAACGGUUUCGGCAAAAAACGGUUCGCAAUCGACAAGAUCUGGAUGCAAUCUGAACUCAAUCGGCAGAAAAAACAGCUAUGAAAAAUUACUCCAGAUCAUUCCCGUUCCACAGGACACCGUCCAGAAUACACAAAACAUUGUUCGGAAUUCGAUCCGAUACAGCAGAAUCUG